rnacentral:rRNA from 1 species
UAAUAGUGUAUAUUAAAGUUGUUGCAGUCAAAAAGCUCGUAGUUGAAUGUUGGUGUCGAACGAGCGGUCAGCUUCGGCUGUACUGCUCUCUCGACUCCUUCCUUCUGUGGACUACGUCGCACUUUACUGUGUGGCGCUAGGACGCAGAUCGUUUACUGUGAAAAAAUUAGAGUGUUCAAAGCAGGCCGUACGCUUGAAUACAUUAGCAUGGAAUAAUGGAAUAGGACGUCGGGCCUAUUUUGUUGGUUCUAGGACCGUCGUAAUGAUUAAUAGGGACAGUUGGGGCCGUUUAUAUUCCGUAGUCAGAGGUGAAAUUCUUGGAUUUACGGAAGAUAAACUACUGCGAAAGCAUUCGGCAAGGAUGUUUUCGUUA